rnacentral:rRNA from 1 species
UACGUAGGGGGCUAGCGUUGUCCGGAUUUAUUGGGCGUAAAGAGCGUGUAGGCGGCCAUGUAGGUCCGGUGUGAAAACUCGAGGCUUAACCUCGAGAUGUCAUCGGAAACCAUUUGGCUAGAGUCCGGAAGAGGAGAGUGGAAUUCCUGGUGUAGCGGUGAAAUGCGCAGAUAUCAGGAGGAACACCGAUGGCGAAGGCAGGUCUCUGGGCAUUAACUGACGUGAGGAGCGAAAGCAUGGGGGAGCGAACAGG